rnacentral:rRNA from 1 species
UGAGUAACACGUAUCCAACCUGCCGUCUACUCUUGGACAGCCUUCUGAAAGGAAGAUUAAUACAAGAUGGCAUCAUGAGUCCGCAUGUUCACAUGAUUAAAGGUAUUCCGGUAGACGAUGGGGAUGCGUUCCAUUAGAUAGUAGGCGGGGUAACGGCCCACCUAGUCUUCGAUCGAUAGGGGUUCUGAGAGGAAGGUCCCCCACAUUGGAACUGAGACACGGUCCAA